rnacentral:rRNA from 1 species
AUGAACGCUGGCGGCGUGCUUCACACAUGCACGUCGAACGAAGCAUUUAAGACAGAUUACUUCGGUUUGAAGUCUUUUAUGACUGAGUGGCGGACGGGUGAGUAACGCGUGGGUAACCUGCCUCAUACAGGGGGAUAGCAGCUGGAAACGGCUGGUAAUACCGCAUAAGCGCACAGUACCACAUGGUACAGUGUGAAAAACUCCGGUGGUAUGAGAUGGACCCGCGUCUGAUUAGCUUGUUGGCGGGGUAACGGCCCACCAAGGCGACGAUCAGUAGCCGACCUGAGAGGGUGACCGGCCACAUUGGGACUGAGACACGGCCCAGACUCCUACGGGAGGCAGCAGUGGGGAAUAUUGCACAAUGGAGGAAACUCUGAUGCAGCGACGCCGCGUGAGUGAAGAAGUAGUUCGCUAUGUAAAGCUCUAUCAGCAGGGAAGAUAGUGACGGUACCUGACUAAGAAGCUCCGGCUAAAUACGUG